rnacentral:tRNA from 1 species
GAAACUAUAGUCAAUAUAACAUAUGAUAUAUAAUUUGCACUUAUAGGGAGUGAAAACUAGUUUCA